GACGAACGCUGGCGGCGCGCCUAAUCUAUGCAAGUCGAACGCUUCUUCCCUCCCCCGUGCUUGCCCUCAAUUGGAAAGAGCUGUGGCGGAAGGUGCAGUAACACUUCUCUAACUUACCCAUUACCAGGGGAUAACACUUGCAAACAGCUUCUAAUACCGCUUAACAGUUUAUCCCGCAUGGCAUGACGGUGAAAAGCUCUCUCGUGUCUCUCUGCUGGAUCAUCCCGCGCUGCAUUAGCUAGUUGGUGAGGUAACGCCUCACCAAGGCCACGAUGCAUACCCGUCCUGAUAGGGUGAUCGGCCACACUGGGAGUGAGACACGGUCUAUACUCCUACGGGAGGCAGCAGUAGGGAAUCUUCUGCAAUGGUCGAAAGUCUGAACGAGCAACGCCGCGUGAGUGAAGAAGGUUUUCGGAUCGUAAAACUCUGUUGUUAGCGAAGAACAAGGUCGCAAGUAAAUAAACGCCCCCUGAGGGUAUCUAACCAGAAAGGCACGGCUAACUACGUG
rnacentral:rRNA from 1 species